AAGUCCGACGCUUAACCGACGGAGCCACCCAGGCGCCCCUCAUUUUUUUUUGAAAUCAUAGUUCCUUUCAACUAGAUAAAAGAAACAUAAAUUUUUAAUUUAUGUUGAGGGGAAUCUCUUAGAAUGUACAACAGCCCCCAAGGAAUGUGGAACAUUUUGCAAAACCCUGCCCUUGGCUCUUGCUGGCCCAGCAGAACCCCGGAGGGUUUGUUUAUAACAUGUCUGGACGUUCCUAUCUGAGUAAAAGCCCCGGCCUUUGCUCUGUGUAAGCGAUUCCUGAAGAUAGUUGCUCUGCCACAGGGAGAAAUGUUUCUGAAAAGCCUGCCCAAGGAUUUUCGUCCCGAAGAAUGUAAAAUGUCUGCGGGCCACACGGGUACUGGUGGCCAGCACGGGCCGCCCUGUGUCCCUGCGCCCAGGCAGCCCAGCCGAGCUCCGGGGUUCAAGCUUGUGGACCAGCACCGCAUCCUGGAACAGAGCUCACAAGGCAGACGGCGCAGCCUGAAUCCCUCUGACACAGGACACCUCAGGACAUGCCAGGCUCUCGGAGAGGAAGCUGAGCUAAUGACUUCGUGUUGGCCCAGUGAGGUCGCACCAGAGAGAAGAAAACCCGUGGGAGAGAAGGAAACAGGAAGAGAGCUCACACCUGGCUAGAAAUAACUGGCCUCCUUCCAUGUCCUGUCUAAAAAAAAAGAAAGAAACAAAAAAGUACCACGAGAGAAACCGAACGAUCUGCGUUCCUAUUGUAGGUUUUGUCUAUUUCGAUUCAUUUCAAGCUUUUAGAUUAUGGCUCUUCCAGGACUGCCCUCCGUGCCUUCUCCUCCCUGUCAGCAGGCAUGCAUCAAAGUCAUUGCAAAAUGCAACCCCUUCCCCUGGAGGCCGGGGGAUGAUAGGAAGGAGGACAGCAUUACAAAGCGGCCUCGCCAGCGUGUGCCCUGGGUGCUAGACCGACAUCAAAUGUGUUGUUAAGCACCAGUUGGACGUCCUGGAAUCACAUUAAUUGGAGAAAUACAUAUGGAUGAGAGGUGUAGGCGACCCAGCCUGAUACAUUUUCUCUUCUCCCCUCUGAUCCAAGCUGCUACCAUUCUUUGCUAUAGAAACGUCCCAGUUCAACCUUUGGGGGUUCUGCUUUGGCGUUUUUAAGGUCAACGAAAUUACUGUGGCGGCCAGUGGCCGCAUGCGGCCAUUUACAUUCAAAUGAUGUAAGAUGAAAUCAGACUUAAAACUCAGAUCCACGGUCACACUAACCACACUUCAAGCGCUGGUGGCUACCUGUGGCGUGGGACAGUACUGGACAGUACAGAGAUAGGGCGUUCCUGCCUCACAGAAAGUUCUGUUGCACAGUGCUGGGGUAGACCGUGAGGGGGCCGGCAGGCCAUCAGUUGGCUGUGCACACAUGCUCACGGAAGACUGGUGAAGGCUGUUCCAGAAGAGCCCAGAGGUUCAGGGUGAGAGAGAGAGAGAGAGAGAGGCCAGCGUGAUUGCAACAUUGGAUUUGGCGGGGAGCCAGGCCUUGAGAGCCUGGUUAAGAAACUGGGAUGUUGUCCUGAAGGCAAAUCAGGUUUUAUACAGGGGACAGAGCAGUAGCAAAUGGGGAUGUGCAGGUUAGCAAACUCACCCCGCCCGCCCGUGGGGGAACCGAAAUCUGAAACCGGAAGGGGAGUGCCUUGCGUGGCUGUUGGAGGAGCUCAGUCACAGAUGACCAAUUGGAUUUUCAGCGGCAGUGGGAAAGCAGAUGGUCAGGGGGGCCUGAGGGUCAGGGAGAGUGUGAAAGGGCUUUGGCGGAUACAGAGACCGGCAGGGGCUGGAGAGAGAAGACUCGGGAGGAACAGUGACCAGCGCCCCCCACCGAUGGGAAGCUGGGUCACGAGCAGGACGACGAAAUACUGGUCUGUUAAAGAAACGCCCGUUAAUGGUGGCACCGCCUAUGGAAAUCACUAUGAGACAGUGAGGUGUGUGUGAAAGGAGGACACGUCGAUGCCAUCAGAAGAACCCCCUUCUGGGAUCAGAAGAGGCCUGGAAUCGACACACGACAAUCCGGGUGCACCUGCCUGAGAUGACCAUGGGGGCCCGUGAAAUGAGGCAGCCCGAGGGAGCUGUGGCAGGGCGGAGGUGGCUGAGUCUCCAUGGACUCCACUUGUCCCCUCAGAGGCACAAACUGCCACCAAGACUGCUUCUGUCUGCCCAGAGAGAGUGACUGCAGGUGGCUCUGGGGCACAAUCUCCAACAUCUGGAAAGUGAAAUUGAAUGCUAUUACUCUCUGAUAUAAAGCAAACUAACUCUAA